CCUACGGGGGGCUGCAGUGGGGAAUAUUGGACAAUGGGGGGAACCCUGAUCCAGCCAUGCCGCGUGUGUGAAGAAGGCCCUCGGGUUGUAAAGCACUUUCAGUGAGGAAGAACGCCUGGUGGUUAAUACCCGUCAGGAAAGACAUCACUCACAGAAGAAGCACCGGCUAACUCCGUGCCAGCAGCCGCGGUAAUACGGAGGGUGCGAGCGUUAAUCGGAAUUACUGGGCGUAAAGCGCGCGUAGGUGGCUUGAUAAGCCGGUUGUGAAAGCCCCGGGCUCAACCUGGGAACGGCAUCCGGAACUGUCAAGCUAGAGUGCAGGAGAGGAAGGUAGAAUUCCCGGUGUAGCGGUGAAAUGCGUAGAGAUCGGGAGGAAUACCAGUGGCGAAGGCGGCCUUCUGGACUGACACUGACACUGAGGUGCGAAAGCGUGGGUAGCAAACAGGAUUAGAUACCCGGGUAGUC
rnacentral:rRNA from 1 species